rnacentral:rRNA from 1 species
GACGAACGCUGGCGGCGUGCUUAACACAUGCAAGUCGAACGAUGAAGCAAAGAAUCGAAGCUUCGGCAGAAAUUCAUUUCGGAUUAGUGGCAGACGGGUGAGUAACGCGUGAGCAACCUACCUCUUACAAAGGGAUAGCCUCGGGAAACCGGGAUUAAUACCAUAUAACAUUGCGACAAAGCAUUUCGAUGCAAUCAAAGCUACGGCGGUAAGAGAUGGGCUCGCGUCCCAUUAACCGGAUGGUGAGGUAACGGCUCACCAUAGUGACGAUGGGUAACCGGCCUGAGAGGGUGAACGGUCACACUGGAACUGAGACACGGUCCAGACUCCUACGGGAGGCAGCAGUGGGGAAUAUUGCACAAUGGAGGGAACUCUGAUGCAGCGACGCCGCGUGAGUGAUGAAGGAAUUCGUUUCGUAAAACUCUGUUCUAUGGGAAGAAAAGGACUGUACCAUAGGAGAAAGCUCCGGCUAAAUACGUG